CCUGUGGCCACUGCUAAGUUUUCUCAAUUUGCUGGCAUAUUGAGUGCAGCAUUUUAACAGCAUCAUCUUUCAGGAUCUGAAAUAGCUUAGCUGACAUCCCAUCACUGCCACGAGCUUUGUUCCUAGUGGUAC